UUUCCGUAGGUGAACCUGCGGAAGGAUCAUUGUUGUAUAACCGAGGUGCGAGGGCUGUCGCUGACCCGACAGGUCGUGCACGCCCGAGUGCCCUCUCACACAUACAUCUCACCCCUAUGUGCACCACCGCGUGGGUCCCCCUUUGGCUUGUUCGGAGGGGGGCUUACGUUUUCACACAAACUUUGUAUGCAGUGUAGAAUGUAUUUUUUGUUUUUGCGAUCACGCAAUAAAUACAACUUUCAACAACGGAUCUCUUGGCUCUC
rnacentral:misc_RNA from 1 species